AUUGAACGCUGGCGGCAGGCCUAACACAUGCAAGUCGAGCGGAGCGGCGGACGGGUGAGUAAUGCCUAGGAAUCUGCCUGGUAGUGGGGGAUAAAGUCCGGAAACGGGAGCUAAGACAGCAUACUAUCAGAUGAGCCUAGGUCGGAUUAGCUCGUUGGUGGGGUAAUGGCAUACCAAGGCGCCGAUCCGUAACUGGGAUGAGAGGCUGAUCAGUCACACUGGAACUGGGAAACGGUCCAGACUCCUACGGGAGGCAGCAGUGGGAAAUAUUGGACAAGGGGGGAAAGCCUGAUCCAGCCAUGCCGCGUGUGUGAAGAAGUUCUUCGGAUUGUAAAGCACUUUAAGUUGGGAGGCGUUACCAACAGAAUAAGCACCGGCUAACUUCGUGCCAGCAGCCGCGGUAAUAC
rnacentral:rRNA from 1 species